rnacentral:rRNA from 1 species
UACGUAGGUGGCAAGCGUUAUCCGGAUUUACUGGGUGUAAAGGGCGUGUAGGCGGGGACGCAAGUCAGAUGUGAAAACCACGGGCUCAACCUGUGGCCUGCAUUUGAAACUGUGUUUCUUGAGUACUGGAGAGGCAGACGGAAUUCCUAGUGUAGCGGUGAAAUGCGUAGAUAUUAGGAGGAACACCAGUGGCGAAGGCGGUCUGCUGGACAGCAACUGACGCUGAGGCGCGAAAGCGUGGGGAACGAACAGG